GAUUCUGUGAGUUGACUAGGUGGUUCCUCUGCUGAUCUUGCCAGGGCUCUGUUGCACUCAGCUGGAGGCUCAACUCAGCUGGAAAGUCCAAGAUAGUCUCUCCCAUGUCUGGCUGUUGGUGCUGGCUGUUGGUUGGGGGCCUUGGCUAUUCAUGUGUCCUCCCAUCCUCCAGUAAACUGGAAUGACUUUCUUACAUGGCUAUCUUAGUGUUGCUUCUCAAAAAGGGAAAGGUAGAAGCUGCAAAUGCUCUUGAGGCCUAGGGUCCAAAACUCACAUUUGUCAGGAAGGACUGUGGCAGUGGGUGGGAGUAGUGGAGAAAGGGUCUAGUCCCCAGAAGUGGAGCUGGUGAGGGUGGAUGGGAUACUGGGGCUCCCAGCCAAUGUCAGAAGCACUUUGUCAUAACCUGCCUCAUGUUAUUCACUCCUAGCAUAGCCUGUUGGUCUAAGCAAGUCCCAAGGCCAGCCCUGAUUUAUGGAGACGUGGGUAGAGAAAUGGAUUCUUCCUCUGAAGGGGAAGAUCUGCAAAGAAUCUGUGCCCAAAGUCACUGUAAACAAAUGGAAGAGGAGGGGGUAAAGCACAGGCUGACUGAUUCGUGAAUGUGCACUCCUGACCAUCAUGCUAUGCUGCCUCCAUGAGAAACUCUGACAUGGCUGUGUAGCCAGCAAUUCAUUCAUUCAUUCUUUCAUCAAAUGUUACUGACCACCUGCAAUGUUCAAGUGCAGAACUGGGCAGGGGGCAUACAGAAUUGAAUGGGGUCCAAGAUUUGGUGCUCCUAAGGAAGAUGAGAAAGCCAGCCUUAGCCAAGCUCUCUCAAAUCUUCUUCAUCUUGCUCUGUGGUUUUAAUGCUAACUAGGAACCCAAGGGAGAGGGUCAGCCCUUGGAAUGUCUUCCAGAGGAAGGUGAAGCCCAGCUGGAGUCCCAGUCUGUGGCAAGUAAACUGGGAGAAGCAAGGACAGGCUUAAGGCUUAGCUUCUGUGCCAGGGGCUAUGUGUAAGGUUUGACUUCCUAGCCUUCUCAGGUUCACACACUACUCCUCAUUCCUUCAUGCCCUCCCAAGCCCUGAAUUCAAUGUUGGGCAACAGUGAGAGCUUAAUCAAUGGCUUUGAAUGAUUCUUAGGCAAGCUGAGAGGAAUAUCAACAAAUGUUUUAUCCGAUAUUCCCAAGAGUAGCCUGACCCAAAUCCAAGAUUAUCUCCAUGGCCUGCCCCUUUACAUCAACUCAGAGGAUGCUGCUGACAUUAUAUAUUUGCAUGCUUACUAUGUUAAAAAUGUACUGUCAGGAAACCAGAGGCUCUCAAAUUAUCUUAACCACUUAUAUCAGGAUCAGCUGAAAUGCUAGUUAAAAAUGAAGAUUUCUGGGACUCUA
rnacentral:lncRNA from 1 species